CGGGUGAGUAACACGUGAGCAACCUGCCUUUCAGUGGGGGACAACAGUUGGAAACGACUGCUAAUACCGCAUAACGUGCCGGAAGGGCAUCCUUUUGGUACCAAAGAUUUAUCGCUGAAAGAUGGGCUCGCGUCUGAUUAGAUAGUUGGUGAGGUAACGGCCCACCAAGUCGACGAUCAGUAGCCGGACUGAGAGGUUGAUCGGCCACAUUGGGACUGAGACACGGCCCAGACUCCUACGGGAGGCAGCAG
rnacentral:rRNA from 1 species